rnacentral:lncRNA from 1 species
GGCAACAUAGUCUCUAAUGGUACCAUAGGAGAUUAGACAAAUUCACCAAAGUCUAAAUUAUAGCAAAGGGGUAGGGUUUUCUACAUUUUCAGUUUAAUGGGUGUGGUUUUGAGUUAAACUGAGUGUCAAUCUUUUUCUUUCGGACUUGACUUUUCUUCAAAUCUCCAUUAGGUAGAUAGCUCCAGGAAAAACACUUUUUGGUUGCAUAAUCUUAAGACUCAGUAGUCUUAAGACCUGUUGGGGUUCCCUUUUUAAAUUUCCUUUGGGCUUUUGAGUCAUCACGAUAAUGAGGUCUCUUCAGUUAGUGCACCAGUGCAAUCAGGCGGCUUUGAUUUUAAAAAUAAAACAUUGAAAAAAGAAUGCUUCUAAGAGGGUUGAGAGCAAAGGAUCACGACUGUUCUCUGAAAUGAGGUUUUGCGAAGAGCGAGCAAAACUUGCGUCCCAACGCCUCUGCUCUUUGCUCUGCUUCCUUUGUCAGCGCGUCACAGAACUCGCACUUGUGAGCUGUGAUUCUGCACCCAACCCAUUCCUUAGAAAGUUUCUGCGGCUCACGCUUAUUGACAGAGCAGCUCUGGCUUCGGAUUGGCAUGAAGCGUCGGUCUGAGCAGGUUUUACUGCCCAGGUUACCGGUGUUCCGAUAACACCGGGAUACGGUGAACUGGCUCCCCCACCCACAAACAUAGCGUGACUGCGGUCCCCUGGUUGUAAAGUGGACGGCGGGCUCCGCCCUGCAGCACCUGUGCCCCCAGCACGAAGUGCGUGCAGCUGGGAGCCGGCGGGUCACGCAAGCCCAGGCCUCCCGCCGCCGCUGCCACCGCUCGCGUGCGCUCCCGGGGCUUCCUGGCCGCCCGGGCUGGCCUUGCGUGCCGACGGCGCCGCGUAAUCCGCGGAGGAAUCCUAUUCCGGACGCCGUCUCUAGCCCGAGGGGGUGCCCUGCUCUUGACGCCGGCCUGGAAGUUUCCGGCUCGGAAGUUGCAAGGCAGACACUGAGCGGCGACAAGAACAGGGUGGGCGGGGCAGGCAGGGAGAGCACCGGGCCGAGGGACUGACCCCGAGACCCGAAGGAGCUCCAAAGGACUUGGGACAGGGUGGCAGCUGUGCGCGCGCAAGGGGCAGGGGGGAGGGGCUGAGGUCAUCAGUGCACAAUGGUCAGGCCCGGAGUUUCAGUCCUUGUGACCUUGUGACCUUUGAAGAACGACAGAAGGAAUCGAGGGGCGUCGUGGCGACCGGGUUAGGUUUAUCUGCUGCUCUGGCUCCUUGCUCCUAGACCUAGGGGCGGGCCCCUAGUUAUGCGGCGUGCAGGCGACGGGAAGCGCUUGUCGUGAGCAGCAGCGAUGAGAUCAGUUUGCAUAACCACAGCGUCGGGGUGGGGAGUGCAGCCAGUCACGCAGCCACCACCCGACCCGGCUCAGGCUCUGCCCAGGUGGCAGCGGCUGCCCCACGGAUUUGGGUAGCUGGAGGUGGUCCUGCCCCUUCAAGGCCAGGGCCUGCUGGGGUGUCAGAAUCAUUCCAAGGGAGUGUCCAGGAGGCAGUGGGGAGGAGGGGAGCCACACACACACAAAAAACCCCCGCAACCUUCAGGGUUUGCAGACUGGAUUCUAUUAGGCAGGUUUCCAGACACAGUGAAAACCACUGUGCCUAGUAGGUAACUUCAAAGACCACUAUCAUGGAAAUCAAAGGUCAUUAAAAGGGGCCUUUAAUUUGUUUAUAUUAUUUCGCCUAGCAGUCUUUCCUAUGUGUGCAUGAAAUUUAAUUUAUGCAUUCAAGUCUGGAAUCCUGCUUUAGCAAGGGAAACAAUUAUGAAUUCAGUUAAGAGUAUGGGUACAAACGGAUUACUUAAAAGAACAAUGAACUGGGAAAAAAAAAUUCCAGCUCCUAACAAGAAGGCCAUUACAUUCAGCUUUUCACGGUUUUGAACAUCUUGUGCGGGCUCAACAAUAAUACGUGGAGGAAGCUUCUAAUUAGGCAUUUAAAACGCUAGCAUUUACGCCAGGAAAACGUCAAGAAUGCCUUAUGUUAUAGACAUGUGAAUACCAUCUACAUAUAUAAGAGAGGUCCUACAUUGUGGUUCACUUCACUGAUUGCAUACUGACACCUGAAGAGGAGAUGGGUAGAUCUCCAUCCCCAACUUACCCUGACAAGACAGGAGAGACAUGCGGAUAGAUGUGCCCCAACAGGACCAUGUGGGAUUGAAAUCUUUUCUAGAUGGGCCACACCCUGAAUCUCCUACUUCUUUGAAAGUUUAAUUUAUCACUAAGCAACUCCAGGAACAGAGUUAAUUUGAUUUUUGUAUGAUUUAAUUAUCAUAAAAGAAGAGUUUGUAUGUAACUUAUUAAAAUAUGUACAUAAUAUAAAUAUAUAAAUAUAUAAAAUAUGUGGAAUUAAUGUCAAGUAAGAGCAUAAAAUUAUCCAACUGAAUUAACGCCUUUAAAAAAUAGUUCCCAAUGGUAAUUAAGUACUCAGCUUUGUAAUUUAACAUUUAGGCCUAGAGCAAAUAAAGCAUAUGAAGGGAUCUGAUUAUUGCAUUACACAAUUCACCAAGCAAAGAUUCUUAGAAGAUUUUUAAAAUGUAUUUUCAUUCUUUUAAAGAUUUAUUUUAUAUGUAUGGGUAUUUGUGUUUUUGUAUGUAUGUGUACCAUGUGCACGCCUGGUGCUCAUGGAGACCAGAAGAGGUCAUCAGAUCCACCUGGAAGUGGGUUGUAGAUCACAAUGAUGGUGCUACAAACCAAACCCUGGUCCUUUGCAAGAGCAGCAAAAAGCUCUCACUUAACCACUAAGCCAUCUAUCCAAAACUCCCCUCCACCCCUGCCUUUUGAACAAGGUCUUGCCCAAGCCUUGAAUUCCUGGCAAUUCCCCUGCCUCAGCCUCCAAAGAGUAGAUAUUACAACUGUAAGCAUGAUUUUUCUCUGCAAUUUUAAGUUAAUGAUUAUUAUCUAGCAAAAGCCUUUAUAGAAUGCUGCUUUCAAUGUUAUGUAGUUUUAAGAUGUGAAACACAAUAGUUUGAGUGAAACAUUCCAUUAGACACUGUGGCUACCAAAAGUAAGAGAUAUAGAGGAAUUAAAGCAAUUGUAGAACUCUAUACAUAAAAGAUGCUUUUAAAUAUGAUUUAUCACUAUGAGCAUAUAAAUAUAAUUCACCAUGUGGAAACAAAUAUAACCUGCAAUAGGUUGCUCUUUGUUCAGGGGCAGAGACUAUUUUUUUCCUCACACCACCCAAUGAGUGAUAAAGGUUUGAGUGAGUGGAUCAAUUAAUGAAUGGGAGGGAAUACCAUUCAGAACUAAGUUCUGGGCACUCUAUUCCCCAGGCCUUCCCGUUUCUGUCUCAAUGAGUGCCUGCCCAGAUCAUUCAUGCUCUAAGUGAACAAUAGGGAAAAAGGAGGUAGUCCAGAUGGUAGCCUUUCUGUGGUCAGAUGUCUCUGAAAUGAACAAAGUAUUUGCAGAUGUUUCAGCAAGUGGAGAGGCUGGGCCAUACCUAGGCCAUAGGAAACAACUUCCACACCUUGAGGCUACUACAAUAAAGGUAUCAUCACUCAUCUGGACAGGAUUCUGUUGGAAACUUGAAAAGCACUCAGGGUUGGAAUGCUGCAUGAAUCCAGACUUGCCUCAGGAAUGCCACCAGGGCUCAGAUCUGAGUAUAGAAAUUAAUGCGAUUUGUAAAAAAUAGCCACCAGGAUCAUCGCUUAUCUGGAAAUCAGAUCCUUUAAUCACUGUAGACAGGACUAAUGAAAGUAGAAGAAACCAUCAUUGAUUUUGAGAGUCUCCUCCUAAAUUAGUUGGCCUUUGGCUUUUGGAGAGCAAAGUUCAGAUUCCAGUUCCUGUUUAACAGGAAAGUAAGUCAGACACUAAGUGGAGUCUUUUAGAUUCCAGACUGAAACAGUGGACACAAUGGAAGUCUAAGUCUUGAAGAAACCUUCUUUUGAGAGUUGCUGAAGUCACCCCCCCACCCCCGCCCCAAAUGAAAUAUUGCUCAUGGUGUCUUUGGACUUCUUUGGUUUUGGUUGGUUGGUUGAUUGGUUGGUUGGUUGGUUGGUUUUGUUUUUUUUUGUUUGUUUUGUUUUGUACUGUGUCUUCUUUUUUUUUUUUUUUUUUACUUGGUUUCAGAAAUAUUUGUGUGUCUUUAGCCUAUUUGUUUCUAUCAUCCAAUGUAAGUUUUUAUAUUUUCUAAUGAAAAUCUUCUACAGGCUACUGGUUUUAUGCAUGCUAUCUUCUGGAGUGUAUUAACCUGCUGGCUUUAUAUGGGAUGGUGAGUGCUGUGAUUCUAUGGGCUAUCGCCUUAAUAUGAUGAUGCUGUACAAAGGCACCUUCAAAAGUGCAACUUAUUAAUUUCAUGCCCCAGCCAUGUGACCAUCUGAGACUGCCUUCUCUUCCUCGAUGUAGUAAGAAUUAGGGAAAGGUUUUGCUUUUAGGUGAAAACGAGUUUGUUUCCUCAAACAAUGAGAAUGCAUGACAACACUAAACUUGUUCCCUAAAAUUUCAAAGUUAAAGAACUUAGUAUAGAUAGCACUGCUGUGGACACGUAGCCCACAACGACAGGCAAAGGAAGGGAAAAAGAACUGUCACUGUUACUAAAACUGACCAGCAUAUGUGGAGAAAGAAAAAUUCAUUAGUACUAACAUCAUUGGAGAAUUAUACUCAUGUUGCUGCUCUAAGUGAACUGUCCUUUUUGAAUUUUGGAAUUCAAUAUAUGACGCCAAUUGAUAGUAUGGCUGCAAAUGUUUUUGUCUGAUUUUAGAACCCAAACUCUCAGAGAUGUAGUAGAUUGAGGGCUAGUGACUGAUGCAUAGAAUAAGAGUCACUGAGAUUUUAGGAUUAGAUCCUUACCUGCAAUAGAAUAGCAAAUUAUUAGUACAAUUCUAUUGCAGGUAUAUAAUCUUGGUCUGAAGAUACAGCAGUGAAUAAGACAGAUGUGUUCUCUUGCUCCAAUCACAACAGAGAAGCUGGAACCAGGAAGGAGCCUGCAGAGUUCUAAUUAAAACAGCUCCCAUCAAUCAAAUGCUAACUCUGUAUCAGGCCUUCAGUGUUUCACCUGCAUUAAGUCAUACAAUCUGCCCUAAGUAAUAAUAAGUUAGACAUGCCACCCCUGAGGUCUCCUGGCUCCUCUCAACUGCCUCAUUUUCUCUGCCCAAAGGGACAGUGACUUCUCUGCUUGGAAAGAUGGCAUUUCAUAUGUAAUCCAGCCCUCUCCCUUCUUUCUGUUCUGUUUUGGGGAACACAUUUGGGGAUGGCCCUGGGCUAUCAGCAGUGGGCAUUUGCUCAGAGCUCUGCACUUCCAGGUCCUGUGGAGCAUAGGAUCUGGAGGAGGCCUCUUCACAUUUUGUGUUUGCAUAGCUGAGUAUCCUACUAGGAUUUAAAAUUUGGAAGCCGAAUUUUGCAUAGAUAUCAGCUUUCUCCUUAGUCAGUCGGGGACUGUAUGUAUUCCCGUAAGAGAGAAACAUUUUAAAAAAUAAAAGAAGCAAUUGUAUACUAUCAAAAAUGAACCAUCUAAAUACCAUUCAAAUUCUAUCCAGUCGGGAGGACUGAGCCUCACAUUCGCCUGUCACAUAACCUAGGAAACAGUCUUAAGAUAACAUUGACACCACCUUCACGGCUUUUCCUCAAUUCCUACAAUUUGUAAAACUGUGAUGUCCAGCCAUUGGGCUUUUUUGGGGGGAGACAAGUAGUGAAAUGAAAAGCACAUGGAAUUUAUGGGAUUGGAAAACCUAGAUUUGAGUCCAUUCUGCGUAAGUCUUUAAAAUUUUGAACCACUUGUUUGUUUGCUUUUCUUAACACUAUACAGGGCUUAACUAAGUUGGCAAGGCUGUUGAAGGAUUAGUGACUGAUCAAACCACAAGGUCCAGCAGAUAGUUCCAUGGAUAAUGGCAUCUGCUGCCAAGCCUGAUGACCUUAAUUUGAAAUUGUGCCUAAAAGUUGUCUUCUGACCUGCACACAUAUACUUAUGCUCAAAUACACACAACACAUACACACUAAAUGUAAUAAACAACUUGGAUUUUUAAAAGGUUUAAUUGGUUUUGUAUAUGUAUGGGUGUUUUGCCUGUCUGCACACUACAUGUGUACCUGGUGCCUUGAGGUCAAAAUAUGGUAUCUGGUACUGUGGGUUACAGAUGGUUGUGAGCUGUCUUGUAGGUACUGGGAAUCAAACCCAGGUUCUCUGCUAGAGCAGUGUGGUGGUUUGAAUGAGAAUGCCCCCAUGGGCUCAUAUAUUUUAAUGUUUGGGUCCCAGUUUAUGGAACUGUUGGGAUGAAUUAGGAGGUGUGGCCUUGUUGGAGUUGUGUCCCAGUGGAUGAGUUUUGAGAUUUCCAUUUAAUUCUAACUCUUCUUCAACUUGCAAAUAAGAUGCAAGCUCUCAGCUACUAGUCCAUGCCUGCCUGCCUGCUGCUGAGCUCCCCAGCAUGACAGUCAUAGACUCACCCUCUGGAACUGUAAGCUCCAAUUAAAGUCUUCCCUUUAAAGUUGCCUUGGUCAUUGUGUCUCUUCAGGACAAUAGAAAGGUAACUAAGACAAGUAGCACUCACUCUUCCCUGCUGAGUCAUCUUUCUAGCCCUUGUUGUAUGGGUUUAAAGGAAAAUCCUUCAAUAAUAGUUCAGUGUUACUGUAACUCUUUAACUUGACUUUAUACAUGCAUAGCUGAAGAGUUAGUGGCUGGAUGGUUCCUGUUUAAAGGCUGACAAUCACUCUGCCCACUAAGCUCUUUGUCUGCCAACUAACAUUUUUUUUUUUAAUUAUUUUAUGUGGAUGUGUAGGGAGCUGUCCCUGCAUUCUCCAUUACAAGAUGGCGCCUGCAUCCGGCAGGCACUGAAUGGUAAACAAGUUAGUGCACAGGCGCUGGGUAACUUUCCAUCCCUUGGUCUCUGCCUCUCCCGUGGCGUCAUAUGGUCUGAUGAGCUGCAGCCAGUCAGGGGGUGACACGUCUGAGGCGGCGGUUGCCAGCCUAUAUAAGGGAUGGGUUUUUGGGAGUUCGGGGUCUCCGCUCUGUAAGCUUAUGCUCUCCCUCUCAAGAUGCAUUAAAGCUUUACUGCAGAAGGAUCCUGAGUGUCCUGCGUCGUUCUUGCUGGCGAGACGGUAGCGCGGGACAUGAAUGUGUGAAUGCGGGUGCACACAUGACAGCGUUUGUGUGAAGGUCAAAUUGACAGAAGUAAGGUCCCCUUCCACUGUGUGAAAUCAGGGGAUUGAACAUGGGUUUUCAGGCUCCAGAGUAAAUGCUUUUACCUGCUAAGCCAUCUUGCCAGUCCCUAACAUAACUUAUGUUUUAGAAACCUCUUUCCCAUUGCUGUUUCCAUCGAUGUUGGCAACCUUUUCCUUUAAGCAGUCUCUGUCCCGAUGACUUCCUUUCGAGAGGGUUCGUAAUAGGCUUUCCCUCUAAGAAAUAGCAUUAAGAUGCUCAAUAACUGGAUAAGGAAACUCUAAAGGUAGGUAAUGGGUACAGAAGAGUCUAAGCUAUAAGCUUCAACCAAAGUAUCAAAAAGACUACUGAGGGAGCUGACGGUGAAGAGCAGCUUGUUCAAUUGAUGUCUCUUUUAUGGUUUAUUUUAAGGCUUUCACUCUCUGAUGCAUUAACCACAGCUCAACGUGAGGAUUAAAGGAAAUGGAUUCAAUGCUGCUUCUGCAACCAUCUAGUUUUAUGUGUUUACCAAUUUAACUGUCUUUCUGUUUUGUUUUUCUUUUAAUAUAUAAAAUGAAGUCUGGACAAAUGUUCGCUAAAAUUAUUUCAACAACAAAUAUUCUAGAAUGCUAGCUAAGAUGCUAUGUAUAGUCUUCCCGGUCCACAGUGUAAGUCUUAUCUUCUCCCAGGCAACAAACUAUUGAAAGACAUCCAUGUACUAGAAGUGGCAAUAGUAGUAAUAACAGUAGUAGAUGUGUGUGUGUGUGUGUGUGUGUGUGUGUGUGUGUGUGUGUGUGUGUGAACCACAGCAGUAAAAAGAUUACAAACCAGAGAGAAGCCUUUCCUUAAAAUUAAUAGUAAUAAGAAGAAAUUUCACACUAUCACAUUUGGACACUUCUACUUAUUUGCAAAGGAAUCACUCCUCCAGAAGUUGUAUCACUUAUAGUUGUAUUCUGAUUCGUUCAGUUAGGAUAAAAGAAUUCUUGAACCAGCUGGGCGUGGUAGCACCUACUUUUAAUCUUGGUUCUUGGGAGGUGGAAGCUGGAUGAUAAUGAGCUUAAGGUCUUCCUCAGGUGCUUUGGAAUUUGAGGACAGUCUGGGUUAUAAACAAAGAACAGAAUAAAAGCUGAAAUCUUCAAGAUCUCACACCAGCAUUUAAAGGAGGCCAUAAGUAUGAAGACACGGGCUUUGGAAAACUGUUUUAAUAAGGAAACAGAUGAAGUAUGCUCAACUGUUAAACUUUGAAGAUUCAUUCUUUUUAUUUUCAAUUAUGUGUAUGUGUUCAUGAAGGCAUAUGCACACUAGUGUGGGUGCCCUCUGAGGCCAGGGGUUCUAGAUAUGCUGGAGAUACAGGCAGUUGUGAACUGGGAUCCAAACCUGGAUACUCUGCAAGAGACUCUUAACUGAUAAACCAUCUCUCCAGCCCUAUUAAGUCUAAAGAUAUUUUUUCUCCUAUAUGUGUAGGAUUGUCUCUCCAUGUUUCCCUAUAUGAUGGUAAUUCUGUUCAUUGUGUAAGCAGGUUUAGAGAAAGGAAUAGCAGCGGUGAGCUGCAUGACCUGAGACGUUAAGAACAAAUCAGUUUAAAGACAGGGAUCCAUGAUUCAUUAUAAUCAUGAGAAUCUAUCAAAAACAAACCAUACCUACAUAUUUGUGUAGGUUAUUAGAUGUCUCUUAGACCUAGUAAGAAAAUUCCUAAGAACUACAAAUAAUAAUACUAUCAUUUUCUCUUGUUUGUAUAAAUGACCUAACCCCAUUACUGUUUUCUUCUAAAAAUGACCACUGCUGUGUGGUGGUUUGAAUAGGAAUGGCCCCAAUAGGUUCAUAUAUUUGAAUACUUGGUCAUAAGGGAGUGGUGCUACUUGACAGGAAUUAGGAAGUAUGGCCUUGUUGGAAUAGGUGUAGCUUGGUGGAAGCAGUGUGUCAGUGUGAGUGGCAGUUUCAAAUGUUCAAGCCAUGCCCAGUGCUUUCUCUUCCUGUUGCCUGAGGACCCAGACGAAGAACUCUCAGCUCCUCCAGUACCAUGUCUACCUGCAUGCUGCCAUGCUUCCUGCCAUGUUGACAAUGGACUAAAGUUCUAAAACCACAAGCCAGCCCCAGUUAAAUGUUUUCCUUUAUAAGAGCUAUUGUGGCCAUAGUGCCUCUUCACAGCAAUAGAACACUGACUAAGACAUGCUAUCAGAACAGAACACUGCAACCAGUACCAUAAGACUAAAGAUGGAAAGCUAAGAGAAAACCAAGGGGCUUUGGGGAAAUGAUUCACAAGUGUCUUAGUUUAAUAAAAACAAAACAAACAACAACAACAACAAAAACCAUCAUGACCACAAACAAUCUGGGGAGAAAAAGUUUUAUUUGGCUCUUGCUUCCACAUCCAUAUCCCAUCACUGAAGGAAGUCAGGACAGGAACUCAGAAAAGGCAGAAAUCUGGAGACGGGAGCUGAUUCAGAAGUCAUGGAAAGGUACUGUUUACUGACUUGUUCCUCAGGGCUUGCUCACCCUGCUUUUGUACACAACCUGGGAACACAUGCCCAGGGGUAGCACCACCCACAUUAGGCUGGCCCCUCCCACAUCAGUCACUAAGAAAAUGCUCUACAGGUUUGCCUAUAGCCCAAUCUUAAGGAGGCAUCUUCUCAACUGGGGUUCCGUCCUCUCAGAUGAUUCUAGCCCAUGCCGAGUUAGCAUAAAAUUAGUUAGCACAACAGCUAUGUAUGAAUAGUCUUGCAAAGGAGCUGAGGCUCAACUCUUGGUUCCACUAACUGUUCAUUUGACCCCCUCUGGCUUUUAUUUUUUUUUUUUUUGAAAUAAAGCUGUGAAAAAUGAGGCUGAUUCCUACUUUUCAGUUGUGAGAAAUCAUAUAAAUAUGUAAGUAUCUAACAAUCUACAAAGCACAUGCCAUAAUUUUUUAUUUUGUUUUGUUUUAUAUUUGCAAAUUAUGUUUGGGUGGGCCUAAUUUCUCUCCUUGCUCUUUUUUUAAAAAUCUAAAUUACAUUUAUGUAUUUGUCUGGGGCAGGGUAUGUAUUUGAUGGCACAGUAUAGAGGUUGGAAGCCAAGUUUCCAGAGUCAGUUCUCUGUAGCUACCUGGGAUCAAGCUCAUCAUCAGACUUGAUGGUAUCAAGCAUGAGGACCAGAGUUUGUAUCCUCAAAGGCAAAGUGUAGAUGAGUAGAAACAGGUUAAAUUAAGUUAAAGGAGCUAGUGGGACACCCCAAGCUAAAGCUGAGCAUUCAUAAUCAAUAAGUCUCUGUGAUUUUAUUUGGCAGCCCAAAGAAAAAUCCAACUGCAGGUGUGUGUAUCUGUGUGUGUGUGUGUGUGUGUGUGUGUGUGUGUGUGUGUGUGUGUGUCUGUGUAUUAUAAACAUGUGCUCAUGAGGCCAGAAGAGGUUAUCUGGUGUCCUGCUCCAUAGUUGUCAGCCUCAUUCCUCUCAGACAGGGUUUCUCACUGAACCUGAAGUUAGGCUGUUGUCCAUCAGGUUUCAGCAAUCCUCUCUCCCUAUCUCCCCACCCAACAACUGAGUUAUAGGUACAUAUAAAGCUAUGCUGAGCUUGUUUUUUUUUUUUUUAACUUGGAGUCUAGGGUUCAAAAUCGGUGUCUGCAAGCUUUUUCAAUAAAUGCUCUCAUCAACUAAGUCAUCUUUCCAGUCCCCAGGCUAUAUUCUAAGACCACCUUGGAAAAAUACUCAUGGUCUCUGUGGUGAUUGAAUAGGAAUGACCUUCCUAGACUCAUGUAUUUAAAUGCUUUGCCCAUAGGGAAUGGUACUAUUGGGCAGUGUGACCUUGUAAGAGUGGGUGUGGCCUUACUGGAGGAAGUGUGUCACUGUGGGGGCAGGCUUUGAAGUCUCAGAAACUCAAGUUAGUUCUCUUCCGGCUGCCUGAGGAUCAAGAUGUAGAACUCUCAGCUCCUUCUCCAGCACCAUGUCUUCCUGCAUGCUGCCAUGUUUCCUGCCAUGAUGAUAUUGGAUUAAAUCUCUAAACUGUAAGCCAGCCCCAAUUAAAUAUUUUCCUUUAUAAGAGUUGCUGAGGUCAUGUUAUCUCUUUACAGCAAUAGAAACCCUAACUAAGAAGGUCCUCAUUAUGGAAUAUUUUUAAAAGUUAAAAUAAUAACACACACACACACAUACACACACACACACACACACACACACACACACACGAGAGAGAGAGAGAGAGAGAGAGAGAGAGAGAAAGAGAGAGAGAGGGAGAGAGAGAGAAAGAGAGAGAGAGAGAGAGAGAGAAACUGGGAUAUAACUCAUUCGAAGACUCCUUACUGAUGUUCCUGAGGCUCUUGUUAGAUCCCCAGCACACUAAAAGAGAAGGAUUAUUAAAAGCUGUAAGAAGUUAAAAGAAAUAACAGAGAAACAAAAACAACAGAGGAAACUCAGAUCUUUGCAUUGACACUUAGCUAUAUUACCAGUCUAUUAUCAGAUUCCUCUGAAUCGUUUUCAUGAAAAUUCUAAUCAACCCCAAGACUUCCUUUGCACAACUCACCUAAUUGAAACAAUUUUUUUUAAAUUAAAAUUCCCUAUUUUAGGCUUUUUCCAGGCUGCCAAAUUCCUACUCAUUUUUCAAGGCUCCACUUAAAUGCCCUUGUUGAGGCAACACAUGUAAAACACUCACUGUGUACCCAGCAUUUUACUAAGUGCACUGCUUGACUUAUUUUAUUUUCCGGGGUUAUCAACCCCAGAAAAUAGGCAUGGUCAACUCAUUUGUACAAAUGUUCAAAUGAAGAAUCAAGUCACUUAACCAGAAAAAAGCCAGGAAUGGAACCCAGGACUCAGGAUCUAAAGUCAUUUUUGUUCCUUCCUAUCACACAGGGUACACACAAACCACUGACAUCCUUUGUCUUUAAACAUUUACCCACAUGUGUGCAUGUGUGUUUCUGAGGAAUGAAUUCAGGGCCGAGCUUUUGCAAAGCAAGUGCUCACACAGUACUGUACUCCCACCAGUCCCCUUUUAAAACCAGCAAUGGCUUGAUUCUGUAUGUGUUCUUUUCAUUUUGCUCUUCAACUGGCUGUGUUCCUUUCACCAGCUGUUAGCUGAGCAUUUCCUGUAGGUAAAGUAUUGAGUGGCUCUAAGUGGGUUGGCGACUUUGUUUGUUUCAUUUUACUACUUAAAAGAAACUGUGGCAGAACUAAGAAGUAGGUCAAUGGUUGAUCCUCAGCUAACAUCAGCAAAAGAAAAUUGUGGUAAAAGAUACAUAAAAUUUAGCACCUUACUAGUGUACAGCUUGGCAGUGUUAAGUAUAUCCACUUUGUUGUACAACUGUAAAUGAUUUCAUUAACAUUUGGAAUCCCCAUAGUACCUAGCAGAUGUUUGCUGACAGGUGGGAAGUUUACCAUCUGUCUUAAUCCAUCAGAUAACUAUAACAAAACACCAUAAACUGGGUUAGCUUAUAAACAACAGAUUUAUUUCUCACAGUUCUGGAGGCUAGGAAGUCUGUAGUCCGUUAAGUUUCUGGUGGAUUUAGCAGCUAAUAGUGUCUGGCUUUCUGGCUUUUAGAUAGAUAGUCUCCAGUCUCCGGUGGGAGGACAGAACAGUUAACUUCAUCCUCCCACAUCAGAGGUCACACCUCCUAACCCCUUCAUCUUGGAGGUUAAGAUUUCAACAUAGGAAUUCGAGGAUGCAAUACUAUAACAUCCCCAGUGUCUUCAACCUGAAUUUACCAUGCUCAAGGAAUCUCAGUAGCCCUACCAGCCAAAGUAGUUAUUUCUAAAGCAAAUUACUCUAAAUAUAUCCUAAGAGCUAUCAUUCAUCUCAUAUCAUUUCAAAAUAGAUUCUAAAUUCACAUGGCUUAAAUUUCAAAAGUGCAAAAGAAAGCAAAAGUUGAAAAUGGAUUCAUUUCCAAAAAUGUUUUAGGCAUGUAUAAACAAUAUCAGACAGCUCCUGGGCCCCACCUUUCCCAUAAAGUAUAAAAUGCCAUCACAUUCUUUGGAGUCUUACUUUUGUCACUAACUAUAACUGGAAGGUCACAGCAUUCACUAUGUCCACUUUUUACAUUCCAUGGACAUGCUGUACUAUGGAAUUUACUUACGCAGUUCCUUGUUAGUCAACAUUUAGGUUUUCCCCCCUCUCCUUUUACUGCCGUUGCUCUUUUUUUUUUUUUUUGCCAGUCUUUUGUGAAUGAAGCAUUACUGUAAUCAAUGACAUCUGCAUGUAUCAUUUUACAAGAGUGCAAGUAUAUGUGUAAAAUAAAUUUCUAGACUCUGAACUGCUUGGUGAGGGUGUGUAUGUCCAUUGGUGGACAUUGCUGAAGAUUUGUAAAUUGCUACUUUUCUCUCUUAUUCUCUAGGUGUUGGGAAUUAUUGUAAUGACAUAUGGUGUUAUAAUGACAUAGGAGUGUGUUUCAUAUGUGAAAAGAAUAGGAUCACUAUCACCUCUUUCAUUUCUAGCAAAAAAGAGAACUGCUUGGCCAGGCCUGUCAGGUCAUGUCCUGCCUCCUCUGGGCCUCUCCAGUCACUAACCCAGGGUUAUUAUCAUAUAAGUCACAUGCUCAAUAGAGUACAGCCUGCAGGCCCAGACUUAGCUUGAUAAGCCUGGCUGCCUCUCUCCCAGGCUUCAGACAGACCAGGCUCCCUUUGAAAGGUGACAAGGACAGGCAACUGCUUGGAUUUUCAUAUCCAUAAAGGCAACUAUCAUCCCACUUUAUUCUGGACUAUUAUAUGUGUGGCUUCCUUUUACACUCAAAAGUGUCUUAGAUUGGAUGACAAUUUACUAACAUUGCAUAGAUGGAACAAUUCUGUAAGGAAUCUUAGGCUUUUGUAAACAUGUCUGGGGAGAGACAUGCUGAGAGAAAUGCUAUUUGGGCCUCGCUGCCAUUGUCUAAUGUGACAAUAAAGAGCUUACAUUUAUAAUAAAUGAACUUACUUCUACAUAAUAGGAGUUAGAUAGCUCUGAAAACUUUUAAAUCAGAUGUAUUUGUCCCUUCUCUACUGAUAGAUACGCUGUUGGGCAUUUUCUGCUCCCUAGUAGGUCACUGAAGAAUCUAUUGUGCUAGCAAUCCCUUGUCCUCAGCAGAUAGAAUAACCUCAUUUUCUAUCCAUUUGGCAGUUUAGAUGAGGCCAUGGCUUUGAACAAGUGUCUCCCUGGCAGCAUUGUUACCCAUACCCUGAGAUUAUAGAGUCUGGUCUAGGUGAGAGGAUGGACAAGAAUGAUGUUUUGAGUUCAGUUCAAAGAUGCUCUAUUUUGAUUUCCUUCCAAAGCCACAUAGAAGUAGGGCAAAAGAUGGGCAUGAAUUAAGUCAGAUGCAGCUGUCUGUUGCCUCCUUUGUUUUCCACAGAGUGACCAUAUAUUUGGCCAUCUUGGCAACCUGAAGAGUGAGAUGUCUUGGGAGGUCAGGGUUGCCCAGAAAUGUGGGCUCAUUCUUUCAUACUCCAGCCACAUUAACAGCAAGAAACAACUUAUGAUACCAUAUAAGGCAAAAUUUUACUCAGUCCGCUACUUCAUUCAGGCUAAUAUCCAGAGUCUAGACCUUGAAAUGCCUGCAGUGCCCAGCCUGCGGCCAUCGUUCCUUAUCUACACCUGGGCAGAGCCUGUAGGAGGUUUCCUCUUAUUUUGCAGGCAGGCCUGGCCUUGGUCUACCACAAACAUACUUAGCCUUUAAGUUCACAAACAAACUCUUGGCAUCCUCCUGCAUUAACACAGGCUAAAGGACAUCUGUGUUGAUUCUGAUCAGCUCACUCCAUGGGCCAGGCUUUCUAUUUUGCUAAUCACUUUGUCUCAUCUCUUGCUGAUUACCCUUGAUUGCAAAAGCCCAGCUCUUCAAUUGCUGCCUGAUUCUCUUUGUCCCUCAGAACUAUUCCUUCUGUGAAACAAUUCGUCCUGUAUACACAUGCAACUCUCAUCAUUUCCUCUUCAUUUAAAAUGUUUAUUCUCACCACUUUUGUUUCCAUCACAGCCAUAUGCAUCCUCUUACUAACUCUUACAACAGUUUUACAUUCUGUACUUUCUGGAUACGAUGAGCUAAAAGUCCACAGGCCCCCAAAUCUAUGCACAGUCCUAGUGAACAUGACUAAUGACUAAAAUGGCCAGCAAUGACUGUAAAUGUCAUUUGUCUGUGCCAAGCAGGACAGAUGAACUCUUCCUUAGAAACAUAGUUUAGCUGAUAAUCUGUGUGAGUACAUUGGUUUAGUGUUUCUUUAAAAGACAGGAACGUCUUUUCUUCUUUCUUCCCUUUGUCAAUCUCAGGGCUUGAAUGGCAAGGGGGGAAUGGAAAUACUAGAACAAGACUGAAGCUGACCUGCAGUUAUCAUGAAUGAAAAAUUAACAUUAAGUGAGAGAGAAACAUCAUAAACCACUAACAUGUCAGUAAAUCAAGAGAUAUCAACCUCCUGAGAACGCAUUGCUUUAGGACAUCCAACAAGCAUCUCACAUGGAACGUGUUCAAAUAGACCUCAACUUGGUCUCCCCCUGAUCUUUCCUGUCUUAGUAAUCAUACCACAAUAGUCAAUCCAAAGUCUUGAUAAGCAUUUUUAUUCUUCCCUCUUCUUCUGUAUCUACUUUAUCAGCAAGCCAUGGUCAUUUGAUUUCAGAUAGAUAGAUAGCUAUAGAUAGAUAGAAAGUAUGUGUAUGUGCAUAUAUCUGUAUUAGUUUGUAUACUUGAGUGUCAGUGCCUAUGGAAGCCAAAGGCAUCAGAGCCUCCAGGAGGUUGAGUUACAGUUGAUUGUCAUCCAUGUGUGCUGGGAAUCACAAUUGGAUCCUCUGGAAGAGCAGGAAAUACCCUUAACCAUUGAGCCACCUCUCCAGUGCCCCCUAAUACAUUUUAUAUCAACCUCCAUCUUCCAUGUAUACUGUAUGUAACACCUGAUCCUGCUAUGGUCUGGGGUCGUCCAGAGAUUCACCAGUCUAUUUUUAUCCUCAAAAUACAAUGUUGAACAUCACACUCAGAACUAGCACUUCCCUCUCAAUAAAUGUAUAUUUAUCAUCUCAUAUCAUGCAUUUUCUGUCCAUACUAGAAGUGACCUUUGAAUGAUAUAUAUUGGCUUAUGUCAUCUUUCUUCUUGUCUUUCAAGGGUCAGCACCACAUUUGGAAUAACUCCUAAAUUUCCUCCAAAGGCCUAACAUGAUCCAGCCCCAGCUGUUCCCUGAACAUAUGUUUUCCAAGUCCACCCCUACAUACCCCUCUUCAGCCAUUCUGAUCUUCUGCUCUGCAAGCAGGUCAGGCACAUUGCUGCCUGGAGGCUGGAGUGUUAUUCCUUCUGUUUGAAGAUGUUUUUCUUGGGAUCUUGGGUUGAUUGCCAAAGAUAUUAGGUUUGGUUCUCACAGCAAAUGUCAUUUCCUAAGAAAACAUUUCCAUAAUCACCCUGCUUAGAGAAUGUCUUUUCCAUCCCAUCCUAGGACACUGGUGCCUUUAUAGUGAGAGGUUUCAGAGGAUGCCAAAAAGUGUUGCCUUGCACAUUAAUUUCUGGAUGUGAUAGUGUUAAUUGUCAUCUUGACAGACUCUACGAUCACCUGGGAAAAGGGCCCUUGGGCAUACCUGUGGGAGGUUAUCUUAAUGACAUUAAUUAAUGUGGGAAGACUUAUCUUACUUGUGGGACUAUUCCUUUGGCGAGGAUCCUGGAUGGUCUAAAAAGGGAACAUAAGCUGAGCGAGCACUAGCAUGUGUAUGUGUGUGUUUGUUGCUCCCCUCUUCUUGUUUCAGACAUAAUGUGACCAGGUGAACCAAGCUCUUGCUGCCAGGACUGCAUUGAUGAUUGGAGUUCUGUCCCUGGGACUCACCUGGAACAAGGAAACUGAUUCCCAAAAGUUGUUCUUUGACCUCCACCUAUGUACUGUGGCAUGAACACACACAUACACACACACACACACACACACACACACACACACACACACACACACACUUCUCACUCCAGAAAGGAAUGCCUCAAUAGAUCAAAGUAUGAAUACCAUCAAAGUCCAACUUGGUGAACCAAUGAGUUUUAUUGGGGUUAUUACAGGAUUACUUACUGCAUCACCAAAACCCACCCCAGCACAGGUAACAGCUCCUAAAGCUGGGAACCUGGAGCACACUGCUCAGCCUGCAGGGAGCUCAGCAGGUGGGAGAGUGUCCUUUCCAGGUGCCUAGGAUGUCUGAACCUCUUCCAAGCAGCUCAAUAAAUAUUUGUUAAAUAGCUGAAUCCACACAGUGGUUGAGCUCCCAGAAGAGGGACAUCUCCAGGAGACCAAAUGCCAACAACUAUCUGAGUCUUGUUUGCAGCUGAGUUUGUGUCAAAUCUACUGUUCAGCUCAGGAGUCUCAGCUUUUACUGUUUACUCUGGCAGGGUGGGGUCUAGUAAAUCUGGUCAUUUUCAGGGACUUCCUGAGGCUUUUUUUUUUUUUUUUUUUUUUUAGUUGUUUACCUCCCUGCUUAAGGCACCUCUCUGCAGGAUGGAAUGUUUUGAUCUCAGAGGAAAUUUACACAACAUACACACACACAAAUAAAUGCAUUAAUCCCCCAAGACAUGUAGAAUAUUAACAUGAAAUAAAAAGUGUGUGUUUUUCCUCCGUUAAUCUGUUUUUUGUUUGUUUGUUUGUUUGUUUUUGUUUUGUCAAGUUAAUUCUCUAGUAUCAUACAGAAUGUAAGAGAAUAGCAGGGAAAGAUUUUCUUUUUUUGAGGCCCAGAAAUUUGGAUAUUUUCUCUCCCCCCUUCUCUCUCUCUCUUCCUCUCUCUCUUCCUCUUUAAAGACAGAGCUGGUCAGAAGCUCACAAUCCUCCUGUCUUUGUCCCCAGAAUGAUGGGAUUAUGUGAUUAUGUGUGUGGACCACCAUGCCUGGCUCAUAUUUCUUAUUUCUUUACUUACUGUCUUGUUUAUUGCUCCAAGUAAAAAUGUAACCUUUGGGAAAACAUGGGGAGAGUUUAUCUUGUUCCCCACCACAUCUACAGCUCUCACACAUAGCAGGUGCUCAAUAAAUAUUUGUUAAAUAGCUGAAUCCACACAGUGGUUGAGCACCCAGGAGAGGGACAUCUCCAGGAGACCUAAUGUCAACAAAGCCCCACUUAUAGACAGAACUGUUUAUCUCGGGUCCCAAGCACAUUUGUUUCAGGUGCUGUGUUACCUGGGUACUGACCAAGUACAUUUGAUCUUCUAAAUAAAUUAAUCUUACUUAAGAGAAAGAAGACAAGGGUGAAGAUUUGAAUAAAAGUGGAGUGAAAACCAGGGCAACCAAUAGCACACAGCAAGAAAUCUAAAAUAAGAACAAAUAUCAGAACGAAUGAUUGGAUUUCUGUCCCUGGAACUCACCUGGAACGAAGAAAUGAUUCAAAGAGUAACUGUAAAUUCAAAGAAUAAACAGCAUAAUUGAUUUUUGGAGACAGGCUCUCUUUAUAUAGACCAUGUGGCCUAGAACUCACAGAAAUCAUACUACCUCUGCCUCCUGAGUGCUGAGACUAGACAUAUGCACCACCAUACCUGACCUCUUAGGUUUUUUGUUUGCUUUUGUUUUUGAAACAAGGUCUCUCUCUAGGUAGCCUUGGGUAGCCUGAAACUCCCUAUGUAGAUCAGGAUGGCCUCAAACUCAGAGAUCUACUCACCUCUGCUUCCUGAGUGUGAGGACCAAAGUAUAUGCCACCAUGUCUGGCAUUACUUAUUGCUGAAUUUCUUAUUCUUUUUAUCUUAAAAUAUGUAUUCUUUGACAAUUUUAUAACUGUAUAUAACACAUUCUGAUUUGCCACACUACUGGACCUUUUAUCUCCCUCCCAUCUCUGUUGACCUCAACCCUCCUCCCUACAAAUGCAUUUCCCAUACUCAUGUCUUUUGUUUUGGUUUGUGCCCCACUGCCUUUAACCAAGACCACUUGUGGGACUGUGAGUGUUAUUGUGGUUUGAAUAGGAAAUGCACCCCAUAGUCUCAGGCAUUUGGACACUUGGUCCCCAGUUGGUGGUGUGCUCGGAAAAGUUUAGGCUUGGCUUUGCUGAAGGAAGUACAUCCAAGUAGCUUUGGAAAUGUACAGCCACUGGGUGUUGGUGCCACACACCUUUGGUUCCAGCACUUGGGAGGCAGAGGCAGAUGGAUCUAGUGAGUUUGAGGCUAGCCUGGUCUACAGAACAACUUCCAGGACAGCCAAGGCUGCACAGAGAAAUCCUGUCUAGGAAAAGAAAACAAAAAGAAAAGAAAUCUAUAGCUUUUCCUUACUUCUGGUUUGCUCUCUGCUUUAUGCUUGCUGCCAUGCAUGUUCCCAGCCCACAAUGGUGGACAUCUAGUCAACUGUAAACUAAAAUAAACUCUUUCUUCUACAA